GACGAACGCUGGCGGCGUGCCUAAUACAUGCAAGUCGACCUUAGUGGCGAACGGGUGCGUAACACGUGGGUAACCUGCCCAUCAGAAGGGGAUAACACUUGGAAACAGGUGCUAAUACCGUAUACUGAUGGAUGGACCAGCGGGGCAUUAGGUAGGUGGUGAGGUAACGGCUCACCAAGGCCACGAUGCAUAGCGGGCGUUGGAGGAGGACCGGCCACAGUGGAACUGAGACACGGCCCAAACGCCUACGGGAGGCAGCAGUGGGGAAUCUUCGGCAAUGGACGAAAGUCUGACCGAGCAACGCCGCGUGAGUGAAGAAGGUUUUCGGAUCGUAAAGCUCUGUUGUUAGAGAAGCGGUAUCUAACCAGAAAGCCACGGCUAACUACGUGCCAGCAGCCGCGGUAAUAC
rnacentral:rRNA from 1 species